rnacentral:rRNA from 1 species
UACGUAGGGGGCGAGCGUUAAUCGGAAUUACUGGGCGUAAAGCGUGCGCAGGCGGUUAUGUAAGACAGUUGUGAAAUCCCCGGGCUCAACCUGGGAAUUGCAUCUGUGACUGCAUAGCUAGAGUACGGUAGAGGGGGAUGGAAUUCCGCGUGUAGCAGUGAAAUGCGUAGAUAUGCGGAGGAACACCGAUGGCGAAGGCAAUCCCCUGGACCUGUACUGACGCUCAUGCACGAAAGCGUGGGGAGCAAACAGG